rnacentral:rRNA from 1 species
UACGUAGGGGGCAAGCGUUAUCCGGAUUUACUGGGUGUAAAGGGAGCGCAGGCGGCAGAGCAAGUCAGAUGUGAAAACCCGGGGCCCAACCCCGGGCCUGCAUUUGAAACUGCUUGGCUAGAGUAUGGGAGGGGCAGGCGGAAUUCCUGGUGUAGCGGUGAAAUGCGUAGAUACCAGGAGGAACACCGGUGGCGAAGGCGGCCUGCUGGACUAUUACUGACGCUGAGGCUCGAAAGCGUGGGGAGCAAAC